CGCUAUCACUCCUACGGGAGGCAGCAGUAGGGAAUCUUCCACAAUGGGACGCAAGCCUGAUGGAGCAACACCGCGUGAGUGAAGAAGGGUUUCGGCUCGUAAAGCUCUGUUGUUAAAGAAGAACACGUAUGAGAGUAACUGUUCAUACGUUGACGGUAUUUAACCAGAAAGUCACGGCUAACUACGUGCCAGCAGCCGCGGUAAUACGUAGGUGGCAAGCGUUAUCCGGAUUUAUUGGGCGUAAAGAGAGUGCAGGCGGUUUUCUAAGUCUGAUGCGAAAGCCUUCGGCUUAACCGGAGAAGUGCAUCGGAAACUGGAUAACUUGAGUGCAGAAGAGGGUAGUGGAACUCCAUGUGUAGCGGUGGAAUGCGUAGAUAUAUGGAAGAACACCAGUGGCGAAGGCGGCUACCUGGUCUGCAACUGACGCUGAGACUCGAAAGCAUGGGUAGCGAACAGGAUUAGAUACCCUGGUAG
rnacentral:rRNA from 1 species